rnacentral:lncRNA from 1 species
CAAGUACUUUUUUCCCUUGUCCUGAAGCAACCAAGAUUCAUGCUGCAACAUGUUUAUCAGAAACCAAAUACAGGAAAAAAGCUUUCAGAAUUGCUAAACUUUUUACAACUGUUUCUAUUUUGUUAGAAUUAGAAUCGUAAUGACCAAAGUUAAAAAGCUUGAAAGUUACACAGUUAAAUGACUAAUAAUUUAGUACAUUAGUCUAUGGGAAAUAUAUGGGAAAUUAGUAUAUAAGAAGAAUAAGUAUUUGUACAAUAACUGUCUUCCUAGCUUAAAAGUAUGAAAGAGCCCCUAAAUUACAUUUUUUUCCUUAGUACUUAUUAUUGGUACACUGUACUCAGAGUCUCAUAGUCAAGUUUACCAUGAACUCUAGCCUCACCUUUGCACUCUACAAUUUCCUUGAAUUAGGGUCAAGUUUACAGAUGUAUAAGAUAUACUUUUGUUUCAAAGAUAAUUCUACUGAAUAUAUCACCCAAGAAUAUUACCAUAAGCUGGAAAUCUGCUAGCAUCUAACUAGAGAAAUUCUUAAUACUGUUUUCUUCUUCUAGCAAAGUAUUUUCAAAUAGGUAUUUAAUAAUAAGCAGUUCUUAUAUAACUAAAACAUUAAGGCUGACUUUAGACCUCCUGGGUUAUAAUAACCCUUUGGAAUUCAGAAGGCUUAUAUACACCACAGUGUUAAGUGCUCCAGACAUCAAAGUGCCUGGAUUUUAUUGUUCUCGCUGAAUCACUGUAUUAUCUUGAUACUUUCUAGCAUUUUCAGUACAAUUAUUGAAACAGUUAUCAUGGCUCUAAAGGAAUGUAAUUGGAAAAGAAAGAUGGCCUGUACUGGAUGAAAUUCUUAAUUAGUCUUUCACUGUUAAAUUGUUCAAAAUUAAUCAAGUAUAUUGCCUAUAAGGAGGCAACCACACUUUACAUACCUCAGUAUUAUCAUCACCAAGUCAUAUAUUAAAAGUUAAUUUCUGAUUUAAAAGUGUACUUUAACUGCAAAGCCAUCAAUCCUAAAUAAUUCCAUUACCAAA